rnacentral:rRNA from 1 species
CACGUAGGGCGCAAGCGUUGUCCGGAAUUAUUGGGCGUAAAGAGCUCGUAGGCGGUCUGUUACGUCUGCUGUGAAAACCCGGGGCUUAACCCUGGGCUUGCAGUGGAUACGGGCAGACUAGAGGCAGGUAGGGGAGAAUGGAAUUCCCGGUGUAGCGGUGAAAUGCGCAGAUAUCGGGAGGAACACCGGUGGCGAAGGCGGUUCUCGGGGCCGGACCUGACGCUGAGGAGCGAAAGCGGGGGGAGCGAACAGG